rnacentral:rRNA from 1 species
CACGGGGGGAGCAAGCGUUGUUCGGAAUCACUGGGCGUAAAGGGCGUGUAGGCGGUCAGGUAAGUGGGAUGUGAAAUGCCCCGGCUCACCCGGGGACCGGCAUCCCAUACUGCUUGGCUUGAGUACGGAAGAGGAUGUGGGAAUUCCUGGUGUAGCGGUGAAAUGCGUAGAUAUCAGGAGGAACACCGGUGGCGAAGGCGCACAUCUGGCCCGAUACUGACGCUGAGGCGCGAAAGCUAGGGGAGCAAACGGG